GAAUUCGCCCUUAGAGUUUGAUCCUGGCUCAGAACGAACGCUGGCGGCAUGCCUAACACAUGCAAGUCGAACGAAACCUUCGGGUUUAGUGGCGCACGUGUGCGUAACGCGUGGGAACCUACCAUCAGGUUCGGGAUAACAGUUGGAAACGGCUGCUAAUACCGGAUAAUGUCUUCGGACCAAAGAUUUAUCGCCUUUUGAUGGGCCCGCGUAAGAUUAGCUAGUUGGUGAGGUAAAAGCUCACCAAGGCGACGAUCUUUAGCUGGUCUGAGAGGAUGAUCAGCCACACUGGGACUGAGACACGGCCCAGACUCCUACGGGAGGCAGCAGUGGGGAAUAUUGGACAAUGGGCGAAAGCCUGAUCCAGCAAUGCCGCGUGAGUGAUGAAGGCCUUAGGGUUGUAAAGCUCUUUUACUAGGGAUGAUAAUGACAGUACCUAGAGAAUAAGUUCCGGCUAACUCCGUGCCAGCAGCCGCGGUAAUAAGGGCG
rnacentral:rRNA from 1 species